GUCUACGGCCAUACCACCCUGAACGCGCCCGAUCUCGUCUGAUCUCAGAAAAAUAGUAAAGAUAGGGAAGGUGUGAAUGCUGCUUUUUCAAGCAAACAGAUCAUUUUUCUAAGUUUUCCCAUAUACU
rnacentral:rRNA from 1 species